UAACGGCCGCGGUAUUUUGACCGUGCAAAGGUAGCGUAAUCAAUUGUCUUUUAAAUGGAGACCUGUAUGAAUGGCAUAACGAGGGCUAUGCUGUCUCCUCUCCCCGGUCAAUGAAAUUGAUCUGCCCGUGCAGAAGCGGGCAUAACACCAUAAGACGAGAAGACCCUAUGGAGCUUUAGACACCCAACCAUACCGCGUUAAGAGCCCCAUACCAGGGCGACUAAACCAAAUGAACCCUGCUUUUUUGUCUUUGGUUGGGGCGACCGCGGAGAAAAACCAAACCCCCGCGUGGAAUGGGACCUCCCCUUGAAAAAAGGCCUACGGGCCUAAAAUCCAGAAAGUCUGACCAUAAAGACCCGGCAAUGCCGAUCAACGGACCCAGUUACCCUAGGGAUAACAGCGCAAUCCCCUUUUAGAGCCCACAUCGACGAGGGGGUUUACGACCUCGAUGUUGGAUCAGGACUUCCUAAUGGUGCAGCCGCUAUUAAGGGUUCGUUUGUUCAACGAUUAAAGUCCUACGUGAUCUGAGUUCAGACCGGAGUAAUCCAGGUCAGUUUCUAUCUAUGAAGUGUU
rnacentral:rRNA from 1 species